rnacentral:rRNA from 1 species
CAACCUACCUAUCAGAGGGGAAUAACCCGGCGAAAGUCGGACUAAUACCGCAUAAAACAGGGGCACCGCAUGGUGAUAUUUGUUAAAGAAAUUCGCUGAUAGAUGGGCAUGCGUUCCAUUAGGUAGUUGGUGAGGUAACGGCUCACCAAGCCGACGAUGGAUAGGGGAACUGAGAGGUUGGUCCCCCACACUGGUACUGAGACACGGACCAGACUCCUACGGGAGGCAGCAGUGAGGAAUAUUGGUCAAUGGGCGGGAGCCUGAACCAGCCAAGUCGCGUGAAGGAAGAAGGAUCUAUGGUUCGUAAACUUCUUUUGCAGGGGAAUAAAGUGCAGGACGUGUCCUGUUUUGUAUGUACCCUGAGAAUAAGGAUCGGCUAACUCCGUGCCAGCAGCCGCGGUAAUACGGAGGAUCCGAGCGUUAUCCGGAUUUAUUGGGUUUAAAGGGUGCGUAGGUGGUUUGAUAAGUCAGCGGUGAAAGUUUGCAGCUUAACUGUAAAAAUGCCGUUGAAACUGUCGGACUUGAGUGUAAGUGAGGUAGGCGGAAUGCGUGGUGUAGCGGUGAAAUGCAUAGAUAUCACGAAGAACUCCGAUUG